GAGUUUGAAAUAUUAUAGUAGUUAAUGAAGUUAAUUUGUUUCUAUUUCAGAAAGAUUUGUGCAGACUCCAUCCUGUGGGUCAGUUCAUAAACAGAAUGCUAUACACAAAAUGUCAGGAGGCAGGAUUGGUGAAGUGGGAAAAUUCUGACUUGAUAAUUACUUAUGCAUUAAUCGUGUAUAUGUCCAGGUUUUAAAACUGAACGGUGAAGAGUACUGUAAUGGCAUGUUGAAUGAUUUGAAAGAACUGACUAUAGGGCCAUGGUUAACAUUGGAAGCAAUUAUUAAAGUAUCAAACUAAACCCAA
rnacentral:sRNA from 1 species